CCCGGGCCUUGUACACACCGCCCGUCACACCAUGGGAGUUUGUUGCACCAGAAGUAGGUAGUCUAACCGCAAGGAGGACGCUUACCACGGUGUGGCCGAUGACUGGGGUGAAGUCGUAACAAGGUAGCCGUAGGGGAACCUGCGGCUGGAUCACCUCCUUAA
rnacentral:rRNA from 1 species